rnacentral:misc_RNA from 1 species
AGUCGUAACAAGGUAUCCGUAGGUGAACCUGCGGAUGGAUCAUUACCAAAUAUCCAUAACUUACGUACUGUGAACUUGUUUUGACCAACAGUCAGUCGUGGAAGGCAUCUCACUCUCUAUAACCUGUGAGUGGGUGUCCAAAGUGGCUGGCUGUACCCCAAAAUACUAAACGUAUAUACUAUAAUCUACUAUUAACUGACGUGAACAAGUUAUUCAAACUAAAAACAACUUUUAGCAAUGGAUCUCUUGGCUCUC